ACCCGGAAACGAAUGUCACUAGUUGUUGGGGAUUCAUUUCCUUAGUAACGUAGCUAACGCGUGAAGUUGACCGCCUGGGGAGUACGGUCGCAAGAUUAAAACUCAAAGGAAUUGACGGGGACCCGCACAAGCGGUGGAUGAUGUGGAUUAAUUCGAUGCAACGCGAAAAACCUUACCUACCCUUGACAUGCCACUAACGAAGCAGAGAUGCAUUAGGUGCUCGAAAGAGAAAGUGGACACAGGUGCUGCAUGGCUGUCGUCAGCUCGUGUCGUGAGAUGUUGGGUUAAGUCCCGCAACGAGCGCAACCCUUGUCUCUAGUUGCUACGAAAGGGCACUCUAGAGAGACUGCCGGUGACAAACCGGAGGAAGGUGGGGAUGACGUA
rnacentral:rRNA from 1 species